GUAGUUAGCCGGGGCUUCCUCCUAUGGUACCGUCAUUUGUUUCUUCCCAUAGGACAGAAUUUUACAAUCCGAAGACCUUCUUCAUUCACGCGGCAUUGCUGGGUCAGGCUUUCGCCCAUUGCCCAAUAUUCCCCACUGCUGCCUCCCGUAGGAGUCUGGGCCGUGUCUCAGUCCCAGUGUGGCCGUUCAACCUCUCAGUCCGGCUACCCAUCGCGGUCUUGGUGAGCCGUUACCUCACCAACUAACUAAUGGGACGCGAGCCCAUCUUUAAGCGGAUUUCUCCUUUAACUCUAUGGUCAUGCGACCUCUGAGUCUUAUGCGGUAUUAGCACUGAUUUCUCAGUGUUGUCCCCCUCUUAAAGCCAGGUUGCUCACGCGUUACUCACCCGUCCGCCACUAAGUUACAGACCGAAGUCCGUAACUCCGUUCGACUUGCAUGUGUUAGGCACGCCGCCACGCGUCGUCCUCGAGCAGAUACGACCUACGA
rnacentral:rRNA from 1 species